rnacentral:rRNA from 1 species
CAGCAGCCGCGGUAAUACGUAGGGUGCGAGCGUUAAUCGGAAUUACUGGGCGUAAAGCGUGCGCAGGCGGUUCGUUAAGACAGAUGUGAAAUCCCCGGGCUUAACCUGGGAACUGCAUUUGUGACUGGCGAGCUAGAGUAUGGCAGAGGGGGGUAGAAUUCCACGUGUAGCAGUGAAAUGCGUAGAGAUGUGGAGGAGUACCGAUGGCGAAGGCAGCCCCCUGGGCCAAUACUGACGCUCAUGCACGAAAGCGUGGGGAGCAGACAGGAUUAGAGACCCCUGUAGUCCCUGUCUCUUAUAC